GCCUUAUUCUCUCAGGUAUAGGGGACCUAUCUAGUAAACAGAAGGUCGCUGCUUCGAUUCCAGCAUUAGGCA
rfam:Angiostrongylus costaricensis strain Costa Rica genome assembly, scaffold: ACOC_scaffold0002379